AAUAUAUAUUUUUUUACUCUUUCUUGAAUUGAGUUGUUUAAGGGCUUGUAAGUAAGCAUUUCACACUAAGGUCUACACCUGUUGUAUUCGCAAUGUGGGACAAAGUUGGAUUUGAUUUGGGGAAAUUAUUUCUGUGGGAUGAAUGUACAAUCCCUUGUUUUAAAGAACAGUCUCACUCUUCUGCUGUGCAGGUACAUCCUUCAUCCUGAAAGAGGUGGGAGAGCAUCUGGUCGACGUGAUGAAAGAUGGACAGCAUUUGGCCAGCAGUCCCAUCCCUCUCACCAUCACCCAGUUAGAGAUUGCAGACCCCAGAUGGGUCAAGUUCUUUAGACCAGGGCUCGUGACGGGGAGCGCACUUUUGAAAUGUCAGACUUUGUUGUAGAUAGACAAGAUGCAGGUGAGUCACAAAUCUCCCCCUGAAACAAAAACAUAUCACCAUGUGAAUAUUUUCAGAAAUUCGACUAAGACUUUGUGGCUGAACAAUUUAUCAGCCUAUGGGAGACUGACUCUGGCCAUCAAGGGUCCCAGUACUGUCUAGGUCCAGACGGAGGAUGGGUUCUGUGUCGUCUCCUUCUGCCCCACGGAGCCUGGGGCCUACACCCUCUCAGACAAAUUCACGGAGGAACAUGUGCCAGGUCUGGAUGCCCGACACAUUUCUGCCCAUGUGUCCAGUCCCUCUGGGGCCAUAGAAGAAGCAGACAUCACAACAACAGAAGAUGACAUCUACUCUGAGCUUCAUGCCCAGUGAGACGGGUGUCCAUGCACUUAGUGUGAGCUGAUUUCAGUAUCUGGGCUCGAGGCAGGUGCCGGUAACAAUGGAGGGCCCAGGUCAGGCAGAGCUCACCUUUGAGGACAGGGAAGAUGGCUUCUGUGGGAUCUCCUACAUUGCUCAGGAACCAGGUAUAGAAACACAGGCCUCACCUCCACAUUGUCCCCUGACACAUUCAAUGUAAAACAGAGAUUCACCAAAAAUUAUGCGUUUUCCUCUUGGUGACUUUUUUCAUUUAACUAGGCAUUUAACUAGGCAAGUUGGUUAAGAACAAUUUCUUAUUUAUAAUGACGGCCUACCCCGGCCAAACCCUAAUGACGCCGGGCCAAUUGUGCGCUAUGGGACUAUGAAGUGUCAGUCAAAUUCAAUGACGAGCACAUUCAGGACAGUCCUUACCUGGUGCCAGUGUAUGGCUCUGCUGGAGAUGAUGCAUCAGGGUCGGGACAGACCAAAGGUAUCUAUCAGUACUAUUAUUUUAUGGAGAUUUACUGUCUCAAAUGUGUCUUUCCAUAUCUCAUUUAGAGGGGGAAAUUAGGCGCACAAACUACAUACGGAUCAUAUCGUAACAUUUUAUCACCCAUCACAGGUCAUCUGAUGAGGAAGGGUAAUCAAUGGCUGAUUUGCAUCCUCUCUAUGGUCCUCCUUCCAGACUGAUGCCUAUAAGGUUGUCAGUAGCGGGCCAGGCCUGAGUGAAGCCUGUAUGGGAAGGAGAAACAUCUUCAAUGUGGACUGCAGUAAAGCUGGUGAGGCCAUAAAAUCUCCUCCCUCGGUUGACAUACAAGAUUCUACUUGAUUGGUCAAUUCAGAAAGUGCUCAACGUCGCCGGUUUACUAACCACUGGUCCUGGCAAUCAUCAUUACACAUGCCUGACAUCAUCAUUACGCGCACCUGCGCCUCAUUAUGAGGCACACCUGGACUCACUACACUGAUUACCUCCCCUAUAUCUGUCACUCCCUUGGCUCCAUUGCCCAGGCAGUAUUGGUUAUGUGUUACAUGUCCAGACGUAACUUCUGUUUUGUAUCGUUCUGUUACUUGUAUUAUUAAACUCACCUGCUUCUUGA